rnacentral:misc_RNA from 1 species
GAAGUUCAUUAGUUGCAAAUGACAAGACUCACCCAGUGUCUUGUUUGGCUUGAAUGUGAAAACGUACAAGAAUAAGAGUGAGAGAGGGGUGAUGGAUAGCUGUUAAGUUCAAAAAUUGGGUGGUCAAUGAAAUGUAAGGAGUCCUAUUGUUGUGCAUCUUUAUUCAUCAGCUUGUCUUUGACAUUUUUCUGUUAAAUUAUUAAUGGAGGCAUCCAAUGCCCCUAAU